rnacentral:rRNA from 1 species
GUGAGGAAUUUUCCGCAAUGGGCGAAAGCCUGACGGAGCAAUGCCGCGUGAAGGAUGAAGGCCUAUGGGUUGUAAACUUCUUUUCUCAGAAAAGAAUUAUGACGGUAUCUGAGGAAUAAGCAUCGGCUAACUCUGUGCCAGCAGCCGCGGUAAGACAGAGGAUGCAAGCGUUAUCCGGAAUGAUUGGGCGUAAAGCGUCUGUAGGUUGUUUAAAAAGUAUUCUGUCAAAGAUUAGUGCUUAACCCUAGAUAGGCAGAAUAAACUUUUAAGCUAGAGUUUGGUAGAGGCAGAGGGAAUUCCCGGUGGAGCGGUGAAAUGCGUAGAUAUCGGGAGGAACACCAAAGGCGAAGGCACUCUGCUGGGCCAAUACUAACACUGAGAGACGAAAGCGAGGGGAGCAAAUGGGAUUAGAAACCCGUGUAGUCC